AGUAACAAUUUCGCAGAAUCCCAUCACGUCACAAUCCAAACGCCCUCCAAUUGGCCAGUGAGAAGGGUGAUUCAACUCUGUUUACUUUCUCCCCCCGCCAGUCAGAAUGGCCUUUUGGAGGAGAGGGUGCGUCUAUAACUGAGGCGUGUGGCCAAUCUGACAGUUCCAUCUCAAUGCCUCGUGCUGCCGCUACAGCCCUUCCACCUGACGCUUAAAAGGACCGGGUGCCAUCCUAAACGAGGGUUUCCGUAACACCGACCGCGGUCCGUGGGCCGAGUCCCGGGAACAACCAUAAUUUAGAUUUCCAUUUCCGGUCCGUAAGCAGUUAAAUGCCUUGCUGCAACGGCUACAGUCCCAGCAACGAGCCUUCCAAUCAAAAGUAAGCUGGCUGAUGUCACUGACAUUAGCUCAGCCAAUCAGAAUAGACUCUCUAAAAACAUCCUGAGAAGGCACUGGAAGGGGCCCAGUCUUUAUAAGUGAAGAGAACAUCUAUAAUGAUGAGAUGACGGUCCAAGGCAAAACAGCCUGCUGAGAUAGGAAACACAGAAAUCAUCAUUAUCUCAGGGGAGGAGAGUGGAAGAAAUACUGAAUGUUCUUCCCAUUAUACCAAGCAUGACACCUAUCAACAAAGAGCUGUAUACAUAGGAAAUCAGAAGAUUUGAGCUCAGCUAUGCUCCUCAAUAGAGAGCCCUGGGAUAGACAAAUCAUUUUGUCAACUUUGGAUUUCCUCACCUAAGAAUGAAUUAAAUUAAAGAUAAUAUCUCUUCUAAUUCUAAAAAA
rnacentral:lncRNA from 1 species